rnacentral:tRNA from 1 species
AAAAAAUUAGUUAAUAUAUUUAUAACAUUAAAAUGUCAUUUUAAAAUAAUUAAUUUUAAUAUUUUUUA